AUUGAACGCUGGCGGCAGGCUUAACACAUGCAAGUCGAGCGGAGUGAUGGUGCUUGCACUAUCACUUAGCGGCGGACGGGUGAGUAAUGCUUAGGAAUCUGCCAUUUAGUGGGGGACAACGUUUCGAAAGGAACGCUAAUACCGCCUACGUCCUACGGGAGAAAGCAGGGGACCUUCGGGCCUUGCGCUAUCAGCUGAGCCUAGGUCGGAUUAGCUAGUUGGUGAGGUAAUGGCUCACCAAGGCGACGAUCCGUAACUGGUCUGAGAGGAUGAUCAGUCACACUGGAACUGAGACACGGUCCAGACUCCUACGGGAGGCAGCAGUGGGGAAUAUUGGACAAUGGGCGAAAGCCUGAUCCAGCCAUGCCGCGUGUGUGAAGAAGGUCUUCGGAUUGUAAAGCACUUUAAGUUGGGAGGAAGGGCAGUAAGUUAAUACCUUGCUGUUUUGACGUUACCGACAGAAUAAGCACCGGCUAACUCUGUGCCAGCCGCCGCAGUAAUAC
rnacentral:rRNA from 1 species